rnacentral:rRNA from 1 species
UACGAAUUGUGCGAACGUUAUUCGGAAUCACUGGGCUUAAAGGGUGCGUAGGCGGUCAUGUAGGUCUGAUGUGAAAUCCCACGGCUCAACCGUGGAACUGCGUUGGGAACCCCAUGACUGGAGUAGGACAGAGGUGAGCGGAACAGAUGGUGGAGCGGUGAAAUGCGUUGAUAUCAUCUGGAACACCGGUGGCGAAAGCGGCUCACUGGGUCCUAACUGACGCUGAGGCACGAAAGCCAGGGGAGCAAACGGG